rnacentral:tRNA from 1 species
UGUUCUAUGGCUUAGUUGGUUAAAGCGCCGGUCUAGCGGUUACGGAGUCGUGGGUUCGAAUCCCACCAGCACGC